rnacentral:rRNA from 1 species
UGGGGAAUAUUGCACAAUGGGCGCAAGCCUGAUGCAGCCAUGCCGCGUGUGUGAAGAAGGCCUUCGGGUUGUAAAGCACUUUCAGCGGGGAGGAAGGCGAUAAGGUUAAUAACCUUGUCGAUUGACGUUACCCGCAGAAGAAGCACCGGCUAACUCCGUGCCAGCAGCCGCGGUAAUACGGAGGGUGCAAGCGUUAAUCGGAAUUACUGGGCGUAAAGCGCACGCAGGCGGUCUGUCAAGUCGGAUGUGAAAUCCCCGGGCUCAACCUGGGAACUGCAUUCGAAACGUGGAGGCGAGAGUCUUGGAGAGGGGGGGAGAAUUCCAGGUGUAGCGGUGAAAUGCGGAGAGAUCUUGAGGAAUACCGGUGGAGAAGGCGGCCCCCUGGACAAAGACUGACGCUCAGGGGCGAAAGCGGGGGGAGCAAACAGG